GGCCGGUUGGCCCAAUGGCAAGGCGUCUGACAGGCGUCUGACUACGAUUCAUCGUGCAAUCAGGAGAUUCUGGGUUCGACCCCCAGGCUGGUCA
rnacentral:tRNA from 1 species